ensembl:lncRNA novel transcript, antisense to RBBP8
AUAGUGAAAGACUGAGGCAAAAAAGGCAAGAAAAAAUAAAAGGCCAUGUAGACUGAAAAGGAAGAAGUAAAACUGUCUUUGCAGAGAGGACCUGUUUUCUCAUAUCAUCACAUCUGAUGGAUAUGCCAAACUUCAUCCAAAUUCAAACAGGCACACCCUGAAUGACAUGGGGAAAUGGAAGGAGAAAAAAAAAAACAAUGCUAAAAAGCCUAGAGAUGACCACAUAUGAAACGACCAUGUGUGUAAAGGAUUGCUGGAAAAUAAAUCAGAUUUUCAAGUUUGUUGUCAUAAGAAAAGUGGUAGCGGGGAGGGGCCAAGAUGGCUGACUAGAAGCAGUUGCCAUCAGAGGCUCCCACCAAGAUAAUGAAAAUGGCCAACGAAUCCUGCACUGGCAACUGUGGUAUCCAGGUUCUCUCAUUGAAUUAGGCAGUUGGCGCAACCCAUGGAGAGUGAGGAAAAGCAGGGUGGAGCAAUGGCCCUCCUGGGAGUGCAGGGGAAGGGGAGCUCCCACCCCCAGCCAAGGGAGGUGUGAGUGAUUGUGCUACCUGCCCCAGGAAACCACACUUUUUCC